AUACCGCGUGUGUGAAGAAGGCCUUCGGGUUGUAAAGCACUUUAAGCAGGGAGAAAAAGUUAUAAGUUAAUACCUUAUAACCCUGAUGUUACCUGCAGAAUAAGCACCGGCUAAUUCCGUGCCAGCAGCCGCGGUAAUACGGAAGGUGCAAGCGUUAAUCGGAAUUACUGGGCGUAAAGCGCGCGUAGGUGGUUUGUUAAGUUGGAUGUGAAAGCCCUGGGCUCAACCUAGGAACUGCAUCCAAAACUAACUCACUAGAGUACGAUAGAGGGAGGUAGAAUUCAUAGUGUAGCGGUGGAAUGCGUAGAUAUUAUGAAGAAUACCAGUGGCGAAGGCGGCCUCCUGGAUCUGUACUGACACUGAGGUGCGAAAGCGUGGGUAGCGAACAGGAUUAGAUACCCUGGUAGUCCACGCCGUAAACGAUGACAACUAGCUGUUGGGAGACUAUGUCUUUCAGUGGCGCAGCUAACGCUUUAAGUUGUCCGCCUGGGGAGUACGGCCGCAAGGCUAAAACUCAAAUGAAUUGACGGGGACCCGCACAAGCGGUGGAGCAUGUGGUUUAAUUCGAUGCAACGCGAAAAACCUUACCUACUCUUGACAUACUUGGAGGCUCUUGUAAUGAGAGUGUGCCUUUUGGAACCAAGAUACAGGUGCUGCAUGGCUGUCGUCAGCUCGUGUCGUGAGAUGUUCCGUUAAGUCGGAUAACGAGCGCAACCCUUACCCUUAUUUGCCAGCGAUUCGGUCGGGAACUAUAAGGGGACUGCCGGUGAUAAACCGGAGGAAGGUGAGGACGACGUCAAGUCAUCAUGGCCCUUACGAGUAGGGCUACACACGUGCUACAAUGGGAGAUACAGACGGACGCUAAGCCGCGAGGUGGUGCUAAUCCUAAAAAGUCUUUCGUAGUCCGGAUUGGAGUCUGCAACUCGACUCCAUGAAGUCGGAAUCGCUAGUAAUCGCGGAUC
rnacentral:rRNA from 1 species